GCGUAAGCGCGCGCAGGUGGUUUCUUAAGUCUGAUGUGAAAUCCCACGGCUCAACCGGGGAACUGCAUUGGAAACUGGGAGACUUGAGUGCUGAAGAGGAAAGUGGAAUUCCAUGUGUAGCGGUGAAAUGCGUAGAGAUAUGGAGGAACACCAGUGGCGAAGGCGACUUUCUGGACUGUAACUGACACUGAGGCGCGAAAGCGUGGGGAGCAAACAGGAUUAGAUACCCUGGUAGUCCACGCCGUAAACGAUGACUGCUUGGAGGUAGAGGGCUUCCGCCCUUUAUUGCUGAACUUAACGCAUUAAUCACUCCGCCGGGGGAGUACGGCCGCAAGGCUGAAACUCAAAGGAAUUGACGGGGGCCCGCACAACCGGGGAACCAGGUGGUUUAUUUCAAACCACCGCGAAAAACCUUACCACGCCUUGACAUCCUAUGAAAACCCUAAAGAUAGGUCUUCUCCUUCGGAACCAUAAUGACAGGGGGUGCAGGGUUGUCGUCAGCUCGGGUCGUGAGAGGUUGGGUUAAGUCCCGCAACGAGCGCAACCCUAGAUCUUAGUUGCCAUCAUUAAGUUGGGCACUCUAAGGAGACUGCCGGUGACAAACCGGAGGAAGGUGGGGAUGACGUCAAAUCAUCAUGCCCCUUAUGACCUGGGCUACACACGUGCUACAAUGGACGGUACAAAGAGCUG
rnacentral:rRNA from 1 species